GCUCCUACCGAUUGAAUGUUCCGGUGAUAUCCUUCGGACCUAUUUCUAGAAAUGGGGAAACUCACUUUUAGAAGAUUGUGAAGUUGUGUAAACCUUAACAUUUAGAGGAAGGACAAGUCGUAACAAGGUUUCC
rnacentral:rRNA from 1 species